UAAUUACUCCCUCCGUCCCAAAAUUCUUGUCCUAGAUUUGUCUAGAUACGGGUGUAUCUAAUACUAAAACAUGACUUGAUACAUCCGUAUUUAGACAAAUCUAAAACAAGAAUUUUGGGACGGAGGGAGUACCUU
rnacentral:pre_miRNA from 1 species